UGUAAAUAGUUCACAUUUUUCAUGAAUAAAACUUCAAAUUCAUGUUGAUUGUUGUGAUUUGUUUACUAACCCAAGUACUGUUAUGCUAAAGUAGGCCUACUGUAUAAGAUAAGCACUUAUUUCAACUGGGGAGAAAUGGUUGAGUACAAAUACUUGAUAUGCUGAGCUAAUGUAAUUAGCAAAAGUUUUCAUGCUGUACAGUAAUAUACAAAUGAUGCGUUUGAAAAAACGAGGGCAGAAGUCUAAACUAGUCAACGUAUCACAGGGAUAUGUUUACACAAAGUUUGCUCGCGCUACCACUUGCACUAGGACCAUGGGUCCUUCCCCCUCCAAACGGAAGCGGGCGGUGCAGCGGGCGCAAUGCACUGUGGUAGUUUGAGGAUUUCAUACUUUUGAGCCAGAGAGACACUUUCUGCCUUUUCUCAGGCUAGGAUACAUAGAAUUAUUUACUUCAUAUAACCUUCAUAUCACCACCGGUGAAGUAUCCCUUUAAUAUUCACAUAAAAUCACAUAGGCCUAUAUAAUCAUACCUACUGGUAUUUAAUGAAUGAAGAAGCAUUAUCCUAUCAAAGCGCACAUGGCCAUGACAGCAAACCUAGUCAUCGUUGAUGUGAACACUUUAAGACUGGGGGCCUAUCUUGCAUCCGGCGCAAUUGACUUUCUACACUGACGCAUGUGUUGUUGCUAGUUUGCAACUGGCGCAGAGCGUUCUUUUCCCUCCACCGCCACGCGUCGGUAAAAUAGGGAAUGAUCUUGCGCCCAAGGGGCGAUUCGGCGUAAGGGGGUGGCGUGUUCUGGCGAAAAAGUUUCCUGGUGCUAUUUUGCCGUUUCAGAAAACAAUUGCGCCACAAACCAGGAAAUACCUGGUUUAAAGUCAGUGGCUCGAUUGAUGAGUAUUUGAUCGUGAGAAAACAUUGUUUUACCGCGAGUGAGUGUUAAAAAUAAUGAAUGAAUGCGGGCGCGCGUGUCUGCAUCCAUCUGUUUAAACACACACAAACUAAACACGUAACGCAUAAUACAGUCCAUGGCAAUGUAUAUUAACGGGGGGACACAUGCAUAUUAGGAACACAAGUCGAUAACGAUAAUGCAUACAAUACUGGUAAGAAAUGAUGUUUGUUAAUGUAUUGCGUAUAUCAUUCAAUAUAACCACAGUUACCGCAUAUCAUAUGUGUGUUAAGUUUUAUUUGCCGAUAUUUAUUUGCCGACUCAGUAUUUCUGAAGUUGUGGAAGAAAACGUUAUUCCAUGUGUGAAUUAGGCCAUAUUAUGUGUUCAUAAACUGAGCCAUUUGAAGUUUGAAAUUAAUUUGGUCAUUCAUCUGUCUCAUCGGAGACGGCAAACGUCAAAAUAUCAACUUGUCAGAUUCAAAUGCGCUCAUGGCUCUUAAAGGGGAUGGGAAAUGGCACUCUCAUUGGUUUAUUGCAGGUUACGCCCAAACCACACCUACGGGUAAUUAGGCUACUUCAGACCAACCCUUUUUAGAUUUGCGCCGGGCGCAAGAGUUAUUUAUGCGCCUUUAAAAUAGCAACAUCGCCAUAGAACCGCCCACAAAGCUACUUGUGCUUGGCGCUUCUCACUUGCGUUUCAGACCGUUAAAAUAGGGCCCUAGGACUAUGUAUUGCCUAUACUUAUAACUUUGGUCAAAGAUUUAACGUUACAAUUGAUCCAUAAUAUCCUAGCAUGUUUAUCAUUAAGGCUUGGCACAUUAGCUUAUCUCUAGUUACACUUUUACACAAUAAUAACCUGAAGGAUUGAAUCACAAUCCUUCAAUACUCUCACCCAAUUUGCAGUAUUUUAACAGCAAUUUUAUCAGGCAACUUUUGAGUGACACUGAGAACAAUGAAACAAUACUAUCAAUAGAUGUUGCUGCACAACCUGGUUUAAAAUACAACUGGAGCCAUUGCAGAUUCAUUAAGAAUCAAACUUUUCUUACUUUAUUGUUUUACUUGCUAAAGGCACUACCCUUGAUUAAUGUUUUCCACUUGAUUCCAGCAGAGCAACAAAUUAAAAAUAUACUUAGAGAGGCCUCUGGACGCCUUGUUUCAUGUGAUCCACAUGACCUAUCCUAUUUUCUAAUGUUAUAUCAUAUAGAUGUAUACAAAUAUAUAUUAAUAUUGUGGCAACCCGGCGAACCACCUCCUCCCAAACAGGACACCAUUUCGUGGGGAAAAGCCAAAAAAGGCACGUUUAAUCCAGAACAUAACAAAGUCUCUCAAAAGACAAAUAACGUAAAACCUGGGAGGAAUCAACGGUCCCCUCCUUCGUGGGUGGAAUCCCGUCACCCACGAGGACCGGUCUCUCCGUGCAGGAGCUCCAGGGCUGGGAGAGCCCCGAAUGAGUGGAGAAGCGGGCUAUUUAAGCCCUGCUUCUCCACCUGUUCCUCAGGUGCUCUGAAUCUCCUUAAUUGGCCCGGGCCGGGUUGCCACAAUAUUAACAUGAUUAUUAAGCAAGUAAUGAUCACAGUGGCAUGAUAUACAUGAGCUGAGCGUCCAGCUAGGGGAGCACUAUACAUACACAUUACACAUGACUUUGAGCUCUCAGCUCGCAACUAAAAGGCCCGGACUCUCAUGUGCACGGCAUGCAUCACAGAGACGCCGAGGCAUGGUUUAAAAGAUUCAAGCUGGGAAUUGGUAUUGGUGUCGUCGGCUUUACUUAACCUCACCUUGGGUUGACACAGUCUGAGAACAGAGAAACAAAAUGAACACAGGAACUUCAUCAAAGUCAUAGAAAGCAAUGAAGAUUAAUACAUUGAAACAUGAUAAUGAUAUUUAUAACAAUUUGUUUAACAUUCCAAGCAAUUGUGUGUAGCUCUCUCUUUCACUUGCUCCCUUGAUUUCUCUCUCUCUCUCUCUCUCUCUCUCUCUCUCUCUCCCUCCCUCCAUUUAUCACUGAGUAAAGGUUUGUUUGAAGCCUCGCCCUUCAUCAUAAAUCAAAGAGUUCAUUAUUAACCCGAGACAAGGACAAUGCAUUGAAAUUAUUUUCCCUCUUCUCAUUUCUCUGGCAGCCAAUUAUCACAGUCUUUACUGUGAUUUCAAAGUAGACAAUGAGCUGUGUGUGUGUGUGUGUGUGUGUGUGUGUGUGUGUGUGUGUGUGUGUGUGUGUGUGUGUGUGUGUGUGUGUGUGUGUGUGUGUGUGUGUGUGUGUGUGUGUGUGU